rnacentral:rRNA from 1 species
AGUUUUAUGGAGUUUUAUAAAAUGAAACCUGCCCAAUGAAAUUUUAAUGGCCGCAGUACUUUAACUGUGCUAAGGUAGCAUAAUAAUUUGGCUUUUAAUUAAAGUCUGGUAUGAAAGGAUUAAUGGGUAAAACCUGUCUUGUUUGAUUUUAAAAAAAUUACUAAGAAGGUGAAAAUUCCUUUAGUUAACCAAUAGACGAGAAGACCCUAGGAGUUUUAGUUUUGUUGGGGCGACAUUUAAGUAAAUUAACCUUUACAGCUGUUAUAACGAUUAUACUAAUAAUAAUUAAACUACCCUAGGGAUAACAGCAUAAUUUUUAAAAAGGUUGUGACCUCGAUGUUGG